GGAGAAUUGGCAGAGUGGUCGAUUGCGGUAGUCUUGAAAACUAUUGUACCGUGAGGUACCGGGGGUUCGAAUCCCUCAUUCUCCG
rnacentral:tRNA from 1 species